rnacentral:rRNA from 1 species
UCUCCCCUCUGGCGGCGUGCUUAACACAUGCAAGUCGAACGAAGUUUUUCCUUCGGGAGUAACUUAGUGGUGGACGGGUGAGUAACGCGUGGGUAACCUUCCCUUAACAGUGGGACAACAGCUAGAAACGGCUGCUAAUACCGCUUAAGCCUUAUGUACUGCAUCGUGUAUAGGGAAAAGGAGCAAUCCGGUACAGGAUGGACCUGCGUCUGAUUAGCCAGUUUGGAGGGUAACGGCCUACCAAAGCGACGAACAGUAGCCGAUCUGAGAGGAUGGACGGGCACAUUGGGGCUGAGACGCAGCACAGAAUCCUACGGGAGGCAGGAGAGGGGAAUAGUGCACAAUGGAGGAAGCUCUGAUGCAGCGACGCCGCGAGAGUUAUGAAGUAAUUCGGUAUGUAAAGCUCUAUCAGCAGUGAAGAAAAUGACGGUACCUGACUAAGAAGCACCGGCUAACUACGUG